rnacentral:tRNA from 1 species
ACCUGGGUGGCUCAGUUGGUUAAGCAUCUGACUUCAGCUCAGGUCAUGAUCUCACAGUUCGUGGGUUUGAGCCCCACACCGGGCU